GCAAGUCCAGCAGCUCAGUGCUUUAACACACUUCGCCACCGGGGCUCCGAGUAGAACACUAUAUGAUAGCAUAUUUAUGCUAUGUCAAAUGAAUGUUGGAUUUAGGCCAAUGUGUUUACUGUCAUCUGCAAGAAGCCAUCUAGGGCCCAAGCCCUCCACUGUCUGAGAUGGAGAGUGACCACUAAGGCCUUCUAAAGUGGCAAUGGAAGUCUUCCAGGAGAGAAGAUAGACUCUCUCCAAUUAUAGUCUGCUGCCCAAAGCUGGCAACUCAUUCUGCCUAAUGGGAGAAUUGUCCUUGACAGAAUCCACUACUUAUCAGUUUUAUUAGAUGACCCUAAGGUCUAGUUAUUAUGAUAGGGAGGAAGAGGUACAUCUUUGUUUCAGAGAGAGGGAGGAAAAAAUAGCUUUAUUUCUGUAUCUUAUAUGAUUUCAUAAACCUCUGUCGUCUCCUUUCUCAAUUACAUUCUCCCUAUCUGGUUACACUUCAACUGCUUUAACUUUUCCACCUUUAACCUGAUAAACAAAGAAGAGUCCAGCUAUUCAGAUAAAUAUGGUCUUAAGAGUCCUGUCGCAACCAAGUUUCAUCACUCCUUGGCUAUAUUGUUUUGUUUUAAUGAUGGAAUACAAGGCUGGAAAAUAUUAGACAUUAUUAUUUUUCCUUGCACAUUCCAUUCACAAGUGAGGGUGAGAAGGCAGAUACAAGAAUUAUGUGUUAUAUUUCUACAAAAACAAUUUACCCUUAUUAGUUCUUGAGGGAUGUUGUGUAUGGCUGGGGGGCGGGGGCAAGGGGAACACAAUAUUCCUGCUCCUUGCUGUCUGGCAAAGUUCAUUUUUCUCAAAUAUUAAAUUGGUUGGCAUCACAGACUACAGUUUGUCCACACAUACCCAAUUUCCUUCCUUCAGACAGAUAAACAAGCUAUAUUGAUAAUCAACUCUUUCUGUGUUAUGCACAGAAUGAACAAAAAUAUGGAGAGUCCCUAGAAAUUCAUGGCAACACACUAUGCCUGCUAAAGCAUGCCAAUCUUGUUCUAUGUUUUCCCUGCUUUAUGCCAUGCGUAUUCAACCUUCUUCAGUAAUUGCUUCAGGCUUCUCUUUGACUUCCACAUAAGACUGACCCUCAAUUAGCAUCCUUCACAAAGAACUCCUUCUGGACUUUUUAAAUGUCUAUCCCACCAAACAACUCUUCUCAUUUAAUGGGGCCUCAGGGCAGCUUUUAUUCAUUAGGAUAAAGUGGUCUGAAUUGUUCAAAACAUCAAAUAACGUACAGCACCAUUAAGGAAUGUUACAAAUGCAGUGCAAACAAUUGUCCCAAAGCCUUAGCAGCACAGCAGAAAUUUGAGUUCAUCAGUUUGAGUUGACGCUAACUGCAUCAAGUCCUUCAGCUUUGAAGUGACUAAUACAUUGUUACUUAUAAUUAGUGUCUUUUGUAUGCUGACUGUCUCCCAACAUAAGAGCCAAGGUGGCAAGCAACAAAUAAAAAUAAGCCACUGUUAAAAUACUUUGAAUGCAAAGGUUUUUUAAAACAACAACAACAACAACAACAACAACAACUCUCUUAAAACACAAAGUAAAAUAGCUGUUUCCCAGAGAUUGCAACAAACACAGCAGCAAUGGAACAUGGCUGCCCAACAAGACUGUGCAGUCUUACAUCUCCUUGCAUAGGAUAAAUAUCAGUACAUAGAACUAUGCUAUGCUAGAACUACACAGCACUCAUACUGCAGAACACAUUAAUGAUUAAAUGCCAUUGCAAAAUGUAUAAUGCACAAUAUUCAUUUACAGUAUUUAUAUUCCGCACUUCUCACCCCGAAGGGGACUCAGGGCAGAUCACAUUAUAUACAUAUAGGGCAAACAUUCAAUGCCCAUAUACACAUAGAACCGAGACAGAGACAGACAGACGCAGAGGCAAUUUAACCUCCUCCUGAGGGGAUGUUCGAUUCUGGCCACAGGGGGGAGCAGCUGCAUCAUCAUCCACUCUGACGACACUUCCUCAUUCUAACGUCGUAAAUUAGUUAAAUUUGCCUCCCCACUUUUAAAAGUGGUACCUUAUUUCCUACUUGAUAGAUGCAACUAUCUUUCGGGUUGCUAGGUCAGCAACGAGCAGGGGCUAUUUUUUAUUUUUAAUAGAAGGGUGCUCACCCCGCCAUGGGCUGGCCUCGAACUCAUGACCUCAUGGUCAGAGUGAUUUAUUGCAGCAGGCUGCUCACCAGCAUGCACCACACCCCAGCCCUACAUACACACAAUGUAUAGGAUACUCUGCUCUCAAUAUAUGGUGCACAACUGCAAUGUUCCUUACAGAAAGCACAACCACAAUGUGCAAAGACUAGGCAGGGAGGAAUAUGCUGUUUGUCUGGCGCUGCUUGUGUGUUGCUGCUUCUGCUGUUAUCGCUAGAAUAAGUCUGCAAUUUUGGCCUGAAGAACAGCAGGGAGGGGGCCAUGCUGGCGUCCCUGGGUAGAGAGUUCCAGAGCUGAGGGACAGCCACCGAGAAGGCCCUCUCUUUCUUUCCCACUAAUUGAGCUUGAGGUGGAGGUGGGACCGAGAGAAGGGCCUCUCCUGAAGAACUCAGGUCUCAGGAAAGUUUCAAGGGCAGCAGAAAACAAGCCUGCUCCCUCUUCUUUCUCCUCUCAUUCUUCCCUUCUGCAGGCUAAACAUAGCCAGUUCUUUAAGAUGCUCCUCAUAGGGCAUGGUCUCCAGACCUUUGAUCAUUUUAGUCUCCAGACCUUUGCUCACCCUCCUCUGGACACCUUCCAACUUGUCAAUAUCUCCUUUGAACUGUGGUGUCCAGAACUGGACCCAGUAUUCCAGGUGAGGUCUAAUCAAAACAGAAUAAAAAGGCACUAUGACUUCCCUUGAUACUCUAGAUACUAUACUUCUUAUUUGAUCAAUCAGGAAGGUCAAGGAUCUAGAAUACAUGUGGUAGCUCUCACCUUUCCAAGGAUCCUGUCCACAUCUUCAGGCCGCACAAAUUGAAAGGUAUCAAUCAACACUGGACAAGCAGGAGCCAAAGUUACAUUCAUUGGAACUGUAUAGCAGCAUCUAAGUCAGAAAAGAUUUAUGCUUGUAUUGUGUGAUUUAUGCUUGUAUAUUUCUUCCUGGAUAACCGCUAGUGAUUGCUAACUGCACUUGUUUUGCAGUUCUUUAAUAACCGCUUUAUUACUUUUAUGACUGUAGGACUGUGCCAAGAGUCAGCAGAGAAGAAAUAGAUAAGAGAGGCCUUGAAUCCAGAGGGACUGAUUUCCAGCUGUUUUGGUAGCCCUGAACUCUUCCAGACUUUAGGGACAGGUCUUUUUCUGGCAAAAAGAGGCAGUAAUGGACUGCUAUUUUUGGAAUUUUCAGGAGUAGUAAUUUCCCUUUUCAAUUUGUGGACCCUUCUCCACAGCUUAACUUUUUAAAAAAUGUACUAUUGAACACUUUAACAAUUUCAAAGCCAAAUAUGGAAUUUAAGCAACUUCCCUUGUUUGGUGUUUUUGGUUGUUGCUGUUUUCCUUUUUCAACAGUCAGGGAAGUCUCUAGUCCCCUGACUUACCCAAGUUGUCCUCUCUGGCAUAAACUCAGACAAGAACCAUUAUAUUCUUUUUACUUAAUGGGUCCAUACUUCCCAUAACGUUCAGUGUAACUAAAAGUUAUCAUUUCAGUGCAAUGGGGCGAUGUUAUCCCUCACUCAGGGUGCAUCUAUGCUGUAGAAUUAGGGCAGAUUGAUGCCACUUUAACUGCUGUAGCAUAAUACUAUGGAAACCUUGGGUUUAGAGUUUGGAGAAGUACCCCUCUUUGGCAUAGAAUACUAAAGACAUUGUAAAACUACAAUUCCCAUGAUUCUAUAACAUUGAGCCAUGACAUUUAAAUUUGUGUCAGUAUGCAUAAAUUCUAGAGUGUAGAUGUAUUCUCAGUUACAAUCACAAUGUCCUGGAAUAUAUUUGAUAUUUGAAAAAGGAAUUAAUGAUAAACAAUUAGCUACUUCCAACUAGUUACUUCUAAAGACUAGAAUAACACAAUGGGAAGAACAGGAAUUUGAAUAUCCUCCAGGAAGUGGCCUCUGAAACAUGUUAUUGUUCUCUUUUAUUUUUAUGUUUUCAGAUUUCUAUCCAGAGAGAGGUCUGAAAUCCAAAGUCAAGCAUGGAUGAACCAGAGCAGGCUUUAGAGGGAAAGCCUUGAUUACUGAAAACAGUGAAACAUAUUGAUGAACAUCAUGGCUGGCACAGUUUCUUCUGAAUCCUAUUUGACUAAAAGGACUCCCAGGAAAACCUGUGUCAGAUUUUCUCCACUGAACAUUCAACUGAUGUCUGAGAAGAUUAUCACCAUGCAGAUGCAAAGCCAUUGUUUAACCAGUUGGGUUCCUUCCCACAUUCAUUGAAAGAAAACAACUGGGACACUGACAUGUUGAAUUCCCAGUGUCCAUUGAAAUUCAUGCCAGGUUAAGAAUCUCUACAGAAAAAGACCAUGGGUUUUACGGUUAACUUCAACAGAAAAACACUAGGAAAUAAGAUGCCAAGAAAGACAAGCAGACGUGCAUUACUAUCAGAUGCCUAAAUAUCCUGAAGGCACCAGAUGUCUGAACAUGGAAGUUAAGUAAAAGGCGAAAGAUUUAUACAAUCUGAAGAGAAACCAGAGUAUACUUUACUGUUGGACUGUAUACAAUAUGAUAUGUCUAAGACAUUGUAAAAGGAGGAAAGAAGUAUACUUAUAUGUUUUGAUUGAUAAAUUAAUGAUGUAAAUAAUAAUAACAAUAAUAAUAAUAAAAUAUAAAACAUACAUAAGUAGAUAAAAGGUGUAGUAGAGGGAUAAGUAGUAAAGUUGUAAUAGAAAAGUUAAAAACUGAUAAGAAACACGUUUAAAGAUGUACUUGAUUUUUUUUUUACUGUCGGAUUGUAUGUAUGUCUAAGAUAUUGUAAAAUGAGGAAAGAAUGUAUACUUAUACAUUUUGAUUGAUACAUUAAUUUAAAAAUUAUAUAAAAAGGAAGUUAAGUAGGUUAACUGGUUAACAGUUAACAGUUAACAGCCCUGGUUAGUACUUGGAGGGGAGAUUACCCAAGAAUGCAAGGUGCUAUAGGCUGCUUUGAGUCUCCCUGUGGAAGGAAAAAGCAGGGUAUAAAUAAAUAUAGUUUCCAACCCUCUUUUUUAGACCAAUGUGUUCCAAAGUUCUUGAAAAUUACCUAAACUGCUAUCAAAAUAUGCUGUUAAGGACCAAUUUUCUUUCAUUCUACCUCACCCCCUUAUCAGAAAAAGGGGGAUGCUAUGAAAGCAUAAGUGACAUGCCAUCACUGCCUGUCGCCAGAUGAAAAACUGGAAUUUGCUUUUGUACUUUGCAUGAUUGGUUUGAAUCUCAGCAAGCAUUGCUUGUUACCUGAUUGUAUGACAUAUAAAUCCUGCUGAAAUUCCUUUUUCUAUACCACCAUCAAAUGUACAGGAGCCUUCUCCAGUUUUCAAUCUGACAAACCCUUGGCUCUGCACUUAAUGCCUCAGAGCAGACUGCCAGAGGACUCUUGGGUGAAAAAUUAGCCUUCAUCCUGGCACAUUGUUCCCCACAUGUGAUUUCUAUGGUUCCAGCCAAUCCAGUUCAUGAAAGCAACAGGAGAAAAAAAGCCUAUAUCGAUAGGUAUAAAAUAUUGUCCUUCCUUCAUCCUGUUGAUAUAUGCCUUACACAAAAAAGUAUCCCUUUUUUUACUUGAAGAUUCACUGUUCCUGUGUGUUGGCAGGUUUUCUUUUCGUUAUACGGACAGUUGCAAAAGUUGUCCUGUUAUUUCUACCUUUGCAACUGCCUAUGGUGUUGUUUUCAGAAGGUACCUGUCUCUUUUACAGAAAAGUAUUGUAUUGUAUGGCAUGCAUAUAUGUGCAGGAAAGCUCUGCCAUUUCAAGGACCGCAGAAUGAAUGCAGAAUGGGAAUGAAGUCAUAUUGUGAAAUACUGUGCAUGCGAUUGCUCACAUUUGUAUUCCUUUUGAAGCCCCAUGUUCUGAUCACUGCAAUUUGCAACUCAUUCUUUGAAACAACAAAUUGCACUCCUCAAUGAAGGGCUGAUGUGGAUGUUGAUAAUGAGUAUUUCACUUUUUAGAACGUUUUAAAAUCUUUUAGCCAUCUGGUAUGCAAUGAAAGGCAAGUGGUUACAAGAGAAGGGAAUUUCCCCUUCAUUGAUUACCAGGAAAAAUACUAUAAUUUGGUAGAGAUGAAGCAUUCAGUGAAAUAUGUUAAAAGUAAACCAAUAUAAGCACACA